UACGUAGGGGGCGAGCGUUGUCCGGAUUUAUUGGGCGUAAAGGGCCCGCAGGCGGUCCAUUAAGUUCAGGGUGACAGUCAUCAGCUUAACUGAUGAAGUGCCUUGAAAACUGGUGGACUUGAGAGCGAGAGAGGGACACGGAACUCCGGGUGGAGUGGUGAAAUGCGUAGAGAUCCGGAAGAACACCAAAGGCGAAGGCAGUGUCCUGGCUCGUUUCUGACGCUCAGGGGCGAAAGCGAGGGGAGCGAACGGG
rnacentral:rRNA from 1 species